UACGUAGGGUGCGAGCGUUGUCCGGAAUUAUUGGGCGUAAAGAGCUCGUAGGCGGUGUGUCACGUCGGCCGUGAAAACCUGGGGCUUAACUCUGGGCGUGCGGUCGAUACGGGCAUCACUAGAGUUCGGCAGGGGAGAGUGGAAUUCCUGGUGUAGCGGUGAAAUGCGCAGAUAUCAGGAAGAACACCCGUGGCUAAGGCGGCUCUCUAGUACGGUACUGACGCUGAGACGCGAAAGCGUGGGGAGCGAACAGG
rnacentral:rRNA from 1 species